AGUGAACGCUGGCGGUAGGCCUAACACAUGCAAGUCGAACGGCAGCACAGUAAGAGCUUGCUCUUACGGGUGGCGCGUGGCGGACGGGUGAGGAAUACAUCGGAAUCUACUUUUUCGUGGGGGAUAACGUAGGGAAACUUACGCUAAUACCGCAUACGAUCUACGGGUGAAAGCAGGGGAUCUUCGGACCUUGCGCGAUUGAAUGAGCCGAUGUCGGAUUAGCUAGUUGGCGGGGUAAAGGCCCACCAAGGCGACGAUCCGUAGCUGGUCUGAGAGGAUGAUCAGCCACACUGGAACUGAGACACGGUCCAGACUCCUACGGGAGGCAGCAGUGGGGAAUAUUGGACAAUGGGCGCAAGCCUGAUCCAGCCAUACCGCGUGGGUGAAGAAGGCCUUCGGGUUGUAAAGCCCUUUUGUUGGGAAAGAAAAGCAGCAGGUUAAUACCCCGCUGUUCUGACGGUACCCAAAGAAUAAGCACCGGCUAACUUCGUG
rnacentral:rRNA from 1 species